rnacentral:rRNA from 1 species
UACGGGGGGGCAAGCGUUGUUCGGAAUUACUGGGCGUAAAGGGCUCGUAGGCGGCCAACUAAGUCAGACGUGAAAUCCCUCGGCUUAACCGGGGAACUGCAUCUGAUACUGGAUGGCUUGAGUACGGAAGAGGCGAGUGGAAUUCCUGGUGUAGCGGUGAAAUGCGCAGAUAUCAGGAGGAACACCAAUUGCGAAGGCAGCUCGCUGGGACGUUACUGACGCUGAGACGCGAAAGCGUGGGGAGCAAACAGG